GCCCGAUGUUUGCUGUGGUUACACCAAGACAACAAAUUAAUGCGUUUUAGUUUCUCUAGCACUCGCCUGAGGUGCGAUGGGUCGAAGGAUCGAUCGCCAUCAAUGGACUGGUACAUCAAAGACCGUGGUAUACAUCAACAUAAAAGAGGCAGGAGCGGAACUGCAUCUUAGAAAUUGGUUAAGAUAUGCAUCGGACCGAAGUGGGGAUCGCAAAAGGAACACUUGAGGAGAGGCAAUGUGCGAGGCCAGCAUCCAUGGAGACGUAGUCGCAAUCCGAAAAAGAUGAUGAACAAGAUCGAUAUGUAGUUCGAUAAUAAAUUUACAACUGUG